AGUCGAACGGCAGCGCGGGGCAACCUGGCGGCGAGUGGCGAACGGGUGAGUAAUAUAUCGGAACGUACCCUGGAGUGGGGGAUAACGUAGCGAAAGUUACGCUAAUACCGCAUACGAUCUAAGGAUGAAAGUGGGGGCUCGCAAGACCUCAUGCUCCUGGAGCGGCCGAUAUCUGAUUAGCUAGUUGGUAGGGUAAAAGCCUACCAAGGCAUCGAUCAGUAGCUGGUCUGAGAGGACGACCAGCCACACUGGAACUGAGACACGGUCCAGACUCCUACGGGAGGCAGCAGUGGGGAAUUUUGGACAAUGGGCGCAAGCCUGAUCCAGCAAUGCCGCGUGAGUGAAGAAGGCCUUCGGGUUGUAAAGCUCUUUUGUCAGGGAAGAAACGGUGGGGGCUAAUAUCUCCCACUAAUGACGGUACCUGAAGAAUAAGCACCGGCUAACUACGUGCCAGCAGCCGCGGUAAUACGUAGGGUGCAAGCGUUAAUCGGAAUUACUGGGCGUAAAGCGUGCGCAGGCGGUUUUGUAAGUUUGUCGUGAAAUCCCCGGGCUCAACCUGGGAAUGGCGAUGAAGACUGCAAGGCUAGAAUCUGGCAGAGGGGGGUAGAAUUCCACGUGUAGCAGUGAAAUGCGUAGAGAUGUGGAGGAACACCGAUGGCGAAGGCAGCCCCCUGGGUCAAGAUUGACGCUCAUGCACGAAAGCGUGGGGAGCAAACAGGAUUAGAUACCCUGGUAGUCCACGCCCUAAACGAUGUCUACUAGUUGUCGGGUUUUAAUUAACUUGGUAACGCAGCUAACGCGUGAAGUAGACCGCCUGGGGAGUACGGUCGCAAGAUUAAAACUCAAAGGAAUUGACGGGGACCCGCACAAGCGGUGGAUGGAUGUGGAUUAAUUCGAUGCAACGCGAAAAACCUUA
rnacentral:rRNA from 1 species